rnacentral:rRNA from 1 species
UUAAGCGACUAAGCGUACACGGUGGAUGCCCUGGCAGUCAGAGGCGAUGAAGGACGUGCUAAUCUGCGAUAAGCGUCGGUAAGGUGAUAUGAACCGUUAUAACCGGCGAUUUCCGAAUGGGGAAACCCAGUGUGUUUCGACACACUAUCAUUAACUGAAUCCAUAGGUUAAUGAGGCGAACCGGGGGAACUGAAACAUCUAAGUACCCCGAGGAAAAGAAAUCAACCGAGAUUCCCCCAGUAGCGGCGAGCGAACGGGGAGCAGCCCAGAGCCUGAAUCAGUGUGUGUGUUAGUGGAAGCGUCUGGAAAGGCGCGCGAUACAGGGUGACAGCCCCGUACACAAAAAUGCACAUAUUGUGAGCUCGAUGAGUAGGGCGGGACACGUGGUAUCCUGUCUGAAUAUGGGGGGACCAUCCUCCAAGGCUAAAUACUCCUGACUGACCGAUAGUGAACCAGUACCGUGAGGGAAAGGCGAAAAGAACCCCGGCGAGGGGAGUGAAAAAGAACCUGAAACCGUGUACGUACAAGCAGUGGGAGCCUCUUUUAUGGGGUGACUGCGUACCUUUUGUAUAAUGGGUCAGCGACUUAUAUUCUGUAGCAAGGUUAACCGAAUAGGGGAGCCGAAGGGAAACCGAGUCUUAACUGGGCGUUAAGUUGCAGGGUAUAGACCCGAAACCCGGUGAUCUAGCCAUGGGCAGGUUGAAGGUUGGGUAACACUAACUGGAGGACCGAACCGACUAAUGUUGAAAAAUUAGCGGAUGACUUGUGGCUGGGGGUGAAAGGCCAAUCAAACCGGGAGAUAGCUGGUUCUCCCCGAAAGCUAUUUAGGUAGCGCCUCGUGAAUUCAUCUCCGGGGGUAGAGCACUGUUUCGGCAAGGGGGUCAUCCCGACUUACCAACCCGAUGCAAACUGCGAAUACCGGAGAAUGUUAUCACGGGAGACACACGGCGGGUGCUAACGUCCGUCGUGAAGAGGGAAACAACCCAGACCGCCAGCUAAGGUCCCAAAGUCAUGGUUAAGUGGGAAACGAUGUGGGAAGGCCCAGACAGCCAGGAUGUUGGCUUAGAAGCAGCCAUCAUUUAAAGAAAGCGUAAUAGCUCACUGGUCGAGUCGGCCUGCGCGGAAGAUGUAACGGGGCUAAACCAUGCACCGAAGCUGCGGCAGCGACGCUUAUGCGUUGUUGGGUAGGGGAGCGUUCUGUAAGCCUGUGAAGGUGUGCUGUGAGGCAUGCUGGAGGUAUCAGAAGUGCGAAUGCUGACAUAAGUAACGAUAAAGCGGGUGAAAAGCCCGCUCGCCGGAAGACCAAGGGUUCCUGUCCAACGUUAAUCGGGGCAGGGUGAGUCGACCCCUAAGGCGAGGCCGAAAGGCGUAGUCGAUGGGAAACAGGUUAAUAUUCCUGUACUUGGUGUUACUGCGAAGGGGGGACGGAGAAGGCUAUGUUGGCCGGGCGACGGUUGUCCCGGUUUAAGCGUGUAGGCUGGUUUUCCAGGCAAAUCCGGAAAAUCAAGGCUGAGGCGUGAUGACGAGGCACUACGGUGCUGAAGCAACAAAUGCCCUGCUUCCAGGAAAAGCCUCUAAGCAUCAGGUAACAUCAAAUCGUACCCCAAACCGACACAGGUGGUCAGGUAGAGAAUACCAAGGCGCUUGAGAGAACUCGGGUGAAGGAACUAGGCAAAAUGGUGCCGUAACUUCGGGAGAAGGCACGCUGAUAUGUAGGUGAAGCGACUUGCUCGUGGAGCUGAAAUCAGUCGAAGAUACCAGCUGGCUGCAACUGUUUAUUAAAAACACAGCACUGUGCAAACACGAAAGUGGACGUAUACGGUGUGACGCCUGCCCGGUGCCGGAAGGUUAAUUGAUGGGGUCAGCGCAAGCGAAGCUCUUGAUCGAAGCCCCGGUAAACGGCGGCCGUAACUAUAACGGUCCUAAGGUAGCGAAAUUCCUUGUCGGGUAAGUUCCGACCUGCACGAAUGGCGUAAUGAUGGCCAGGCUGUCUCCACCCGAGACUCAGUGAAAUUGAACUCGCUGUGAAGAUGCAGUGUACCCGCGGCAAGACGGAAAGACCCCGUGAACCUUUACUAUAGCUUGACACUGAACAUUGAGCCUUGAUGUGUAGGAUAGGUGGGAGGCUUGGAAGUGUGGACGCCAGUCUGCAUGGAGCCGACCUUGAAAUACCACCCUUUAAUGUUUGAUGUUCUAACGUGGACCCGUAAUCCGGGUUGCGGACAGUGUCUGGUGGGUAGUUUGACUGGGGCGGUCUCCUCCUAAAGAGUAACGGAGGAGCACGAAGGUUGGCUAAUCCUGGUCGGACAUCAGGAGGUUAGUGCAAUGGCAUAAGCCAGCUUGACUGCGAGCGUGACGGCGCGAGCAGGUGCGAAAGCAGGUCAUAGUGAUCCGGUGGUUCUGAAUGGAAGGGCCAUCGCUCAACGGAUAAAAGGUACUCCGGGGAUAACAGGCUGAUACCGCCCAAGAGUUCAUAUCGACGGCGGUGUUUGGCACCUCGAUGUCGGCUCAUCACAUCCUGGGGCUGAAGUAGGUCCCAAGGGUAUGGCUGUUCGCCAUUUAAAGUGGUACGCGAGCUGGGUUUAGAACGUCGUGAGACAGUUCGGUCCCUAUCUGCCGUGGGCGCUGGAGAACUGAGGGGGGCUGCUCCUAGUACGAGAGGACCGGAGUGGACGCAUCACUGGUGUUCGGGUUGUCAUGCCAAUGGCACUGCCCGGUAGCUAAAUGCGGAAGAGAUAAGUGCUGAAAGCAUCUAAGCACGAAACUUGCCCCGAGAUGAGUUCUCCCUGACCCUUUAAGGGUCCUGAAGGAACGUUGAAGACGACGACGUUGAUAGGCCGGGUGUGUAAGCGCAGCGAUGCGUUGAGCUAACCGGUACUAAUGAACCGUGAGGCUUAACCUU